rnacentral:lncRNA from 1 species
UGCCCAGUUCCCUCCAUCUUGCCCCCUGAACCCCCAUUCUAAAAACCCCAAAAAUCUACUUUUCACCCUAUGAUAAAUUCACUAUCAUUCUACUUAAACUUUUGUGGCUUGUAAUCCUUCAUAUAAAGGUUGGUAAUUGUUUUUUUCCAAGGGCUAAAUCAAAGGCACAGGACACCCUCUGUGUCACCCCUUGACACAGGACACCUGUGCCACCGUGCACACAGGACAUUCCCUGCACACAGGACACCCUCAGUGCUGCAGGCAGGGCUGCUCAGCCCCUGUCCCUGCUCCCAGCUCCAGGCUGCAGCACUCCUGGCCUGGGGGAUCCCAGGUGGAGCAGAGCCUCAGCCCCAUGGAGGGCUGGAUUUGCUCCCACCCUGGCCAGGCUGUGUGGGCACUGCUGCCCUCAGCACAGCCCAGACCAUCCUGGGCUGCCCAUGGGCACCCUCAGCCCUCCUGAGCUGCCUUGUUCUGGCUGCAGUUGCUGUUUGGAAAUGUUUCUGUGUCCCCCCAUCCUUGUGCCAGGCUCAGCCAAGUGUGCUGUGCCCUGUCCCUGCUCUCAGCCUGCACCAGUGCCCAUCCAGUGACUCUGCUGUCCUGGGGAGGUGCCAGCAUGCCAGGGGCUCUCAGGAGGAUCAGUGAACACUCCCAACAUGAAAAGCCUUGUGAAGUUCAGUGGAUGCUCUCAUGUGCACAGAAGGAUUUAUGAUGUUGCCUUGGGAGGAGCCCAGCUCACAGGGAGCCUGAUGGCUUUGUGGCUUUUAUGCAACCAGUGAGUCCUAAAGCACACUGGGGCUGCAGGAUGAGGGGCACAGGAGGGAAAUGUUUGUUUCCACAGCCAGGAUCAGGAGCACUGGGCUUUGCAGCAGCAGCACCUGCCCUGUGUGUCUGUGCCACCAUGGGAGGACACCCCAGGGGACACUGGAUGUGUCAUCAAGCCAGCUGCAAAGUCAAACCUGUCAGAGCCCAGGAAAUCCCUCUGGCUGCCCUGGUGUCCCAUGUGCACUGUUGACACAGAAUUUGUCCUGUGUGCAAAUUUUAGAUUGGUUUAGAGUAGAAGCUCACUGUGUCCUGUGUGCAGGGGUGACCCAGAAGGUGUCCUGUGUCCCCGUGGUGGGAGCAGGGGGAAAUCUGAUUUAGAAGAGAGGGAAAAAGGAUUCCCAGCUGCAGAAG